AGCAAAGACAGAAAUUAGUAUUAGUAGACUUGCUUUACCUUGGUUCCAGCCAUCACAUCUCCACCUGCCCACUGCCUGAAACUGAAACACCAUCACGUCCUGUGAAAAGGAGACAGGAACCAGGCAAGAUGAAGGGCUUCACUGCACUACUUCUUCUAACAGUUUUUAGUGCGUUCCUCAGUGAAGCCGAAGCAAACCCGUUUGUUUACAACUAUGACAGGCUGAGGAUUGGUGGCAUUAUCUUCACAGUCCUGCUGGUAAUAGGAGCCAUGUUCGUCCUGUUCUAUGACAAAUGUGGAAAAAAGAAGAACGAUGAUGAGACCAGCCAGAUCUAAACAGCUCAUGAGGAUCCUAUCAGUGUCGGCUUUUGGAUUUGAUAGUAUGGGAAGUUCUCAGUACAUUUUUGGAUGAGACACUUGCUCUAUCUGACUCAUUAAAAUAGUGCUAUUUUAAAAUUAUACACAUUUUACUCACCUCUAUCUUUUGACAGUAGGUGAAGUAGGACUAUUUUGAUGCAGUCUAACAGAGCAUCUGAUGCUUUUUUGGGGGGGGGGGGGGGGGGUUGGAAAACUGUCUCUUCCCUGUUCUCCUCUAAAGUGAUUUAUCUGAACUCUGGGAAUCUGUUUGAGUGAUUUUGCUGUACAAAGGCAGGGAUAAUAGCGGCCAUGCGGAAAAUCAGUUGAAAAUAAAAUCUAAUUUGGUCUGUAUGCUCUGAUGCUCUUUUCAUCAUCAUUUGUUGGGAUUAAGAACACAGCUUAAGUUUUCCAGAGAGUUUUUUCACAGGUUUGGUUCAGAAAUUCAUUAGACUUUUACAGUGUGAUUUGAAACACUUGUAAAUGUAACAUCACAAAAUUAAAGCUGCAUUAUUAUUUAA